CCUACGGGAGGCAGCAGUGAGGAAUAUUGGUCAAUGGACGAGAGUCUGAACCAGCCAAGUAGCGUGAAGGAUGACGGCCCUAUGGGUUGUAAACUUCUUUUAUAUGGGAAUAAAAUGUUCCACGUGUGGAAUUUUGUAUGUACCAUAUGAAUAAGGAUCGGCUAACUACGUGCCAGCAGCCGCGGUAAUACGGAGGAUCCGAGCGUUAUCCGGAUUUAUGGGGUUUAAAGGGAGCGUAGGUGGCUUGUUAAGUCAGUUGUGAAAGUUUGAGGCUCAACCAUAAAAUUGCAGUUGAAACUGGCAGUCUUGAGUACAGUAGAGGUAGGCGGAAUUCGUGGUGUAGCGGUGAAAUGCGUAGAUAUCACGAAGAACUCCGAUGGCGAAGGCAGCUUACUGGACUGUAACUGACACUGAGGCUCGAAAGCGUGGGUAUCAAACAGGAUUAGAUACCCUUGUAGUC
rnacentral:rRNA from 1 species